UAGGAAAAUAAAAUGCAAGUUCUUUGCCCGCGGCCGUGGCCGCUGUCCCUUUAAAUCGGAGUGCAUCUACCUUCAUGAGUUCCCGGCCAGGGUGCGGCCCCCUCGACAGAGACCUCCAUGCAGGACAGGCCCGGUGGCAUUCAAUCCCUCUCCCUCUGAGAGCUCCGAGGAGGAGGAGGACGACAAUGAUGUGUGCUUGUUCCCAUGGGCUCUCACCUUUGCGCUGCUGCGGGGGGACGUCGAUGAUCCAGACUACUGCCAUGAGAUUUUCCUCUUGGAUUCCAGUGACUCAGACUAGAAAUUCCACUGGGCCGGGCCUGGCUCGAUGGAGUUGGGGUCACUCCAUGGCUUGUGAACCUAUAUCUUUUGGGUGGGGGGAGAUGGGGAAAGAAAAUUGACUUCUUUUAAUCUGUCUAGUUGUGUGUCUGGCAGGACUUCUAGUGAUCCGAAACCACUCUGCACAAGCUGGGGGAACGCAGCAGUGGCAGUGGGAAGCUCUCCCAUUCCACAGGGCGGUGGGAUGCGGUUACCACUGCAACACUGCUCUUUCAUCCAUCCUGGGGCUGAUGGGACUGACCGCUGACACAUCGCAUGUCACGUUUCCACUUCUGUCCCUCCCCUCCGAAACGGCACCUCUCCCUCUCUCCGCGGGUUCCUCACCGCCAUGGCUUCCCAGCCUGGGAUCUGGUGGUGUCCCCAGGCCUAUGGCCUCCCAGCUGCCUUGCUCUAGGAGUAGGCUGUACGUCAGGUUUCGCGGUGGUCCUGCAGUCUCCAUGUUGUGGUUGGAGGCAGAGCGUGCUUGCUGCUGAGGCUACGUUGUUGUGAAGGAGAGUCAGUUGAGCAGUGCUAUUGGCCACAGCAGCAGGCAGUGUCUGCAUCUUGGCGGGUUGCUCUAGUAUUGAUUGCAGUGCUGCCAGGCAUCCAUAGCAGGCUUAAAAGGGGGAGCAGUCUGGGAUUAGUGGGUGGGGGUUUGGGGCUUUUUUUUAUUGAUACAGGCAUCUGUCUCAGAGGUUUCAUAACGUAAGCAGGGAGACCCGCUCCAUGGGAGCUGGAAGGGUUGCUGCCUGGUCGUGAAGCUGCCUGUGCACAUACUUAGCAAACCUUUUAACUCUUUCAGAAGAUAUCUGGAGACCACGAAAUAAAAAUCAGCUUUAAAAACUAAUCA
rnacentral:lncRNA from 1 species